ACAAGUAAUCAAUCAAUGGAGACCAAAGGGAAAGAAAGGCCAAAGAACAACCAAGCUUCCUUUCUCUGGAAUGCAGGGGUGCAUGA
rnacentral:ribozyme from 1 species